rnacentral:rRNA from 1 species
CCUACGGGUUGCACCAGUGGGGAAUAUUGGACAAUGGGCGAAAGCCUGAUCCAGCAAUGCCGCGUGAGUGAUGAAGGCCUUAGGGUUGUAAAGCUCUUUUACCCGGGAUGAUAAUGACGGUACCUUCAAAGGAAGCACCGGCUAACUCUGUGCCAGCAGCCGCGGUAAUACAGAGGGUGCGAGCGUUGUUCGGAAUUACUGGGCGUAAAGCGCGCGCAGGCGGGUCCUGUAAGUCGGAAGUGAAAUUUCGGAGCUCAACUCCGAAGCUGCUUCUGAUACUGCGGAUCUAGGGACUGGUAGAGGCUGGUAGAAUUACAGGUGUAGCGGUGGAAUGCGUAGAUAUCUGUAAGAAUACCCGUGGCGAAGGCGGCCAGCUGGGCCAGGUCCGACGCUGAGGCGCGAAAGCGUGGGGAGCAAACAGGAUUAGAUACCCCGGUAGUC